rnacentral:lncRNA from 1 species
AACAAAAUUUCGAAAAUAUUCUAAAGUGAUCUUUCAUGCAUUAAUAUUAAUUGCUUAUGGGUCUACUGCACCAUUUUUCCAAGAAAAUCACGUAGAGCACCUCUCCCAUUUAAUCACCAUUCUUUUCUUUUCAUUUUAUUAACGUGCACCCCUUUUUUUCUUUUUUCCUUCCUUCCUUUUUUCCUUUUGUUUUUCUUUUUCCUUUUUUCUUUUUUUCUUUUUUUAUUUUUCUUUUCUCUUUUAUUCUUUUUCUCUUUUUUUUCUUUUUUUUAUCUCUUUUUUCCUCUUCUUCUUUUUUUCUUAUUUCUCUUUUUUCCGUUUUUC